rnacentral:rRNA from 1 species
GAUGAACGCUGGCGGCGUGCCUAAUACAUGCAAGUCGAGCGAACAGACGAGGAGCUUGCUCCUCUGACGUUAGCGGCGGACGGGUGAGUAACACGUGGAUAACCUACCUAUAAGACUGGGAUAACUUCGGGAAACCGGAGCUAAUACCGGAUAAUAUAUUGAACCGCAUGGUUCAAUAGUGAAAGACGGUUUUGCUGUCACUUAUAGAUGGAUCCGCGCCGCAUUAGCUAGUUGGUAAGGUAACGGCUUACCAAGGCGACGAUGCGUAGCCGACCUGAGAGGGUGAGCGGCCACACUGGAACUGAGACACGGUCCAGACUCCUACGGGAGGCAGCAGUAGGGAAGCUUCCGCAAGGGGCGAAAGCCUGACGGAGCAACGCCGCGUGAGUGAUGAAGGUCUUCGGAUCGUAAAACUCUGUUAUUAGGGAAGAACAAAUGUGUAAGUAACUAUGCACGUCUUGACGGUACCUAAGCAGAAAGCCACGGCUAACUACG